CAUUAUAUGGAUUUUUGGCAGAUAUGUGAGGCUGAUGACUAGAUGAUUGAAUGACCAUUGAAUUGAUAGAAUCCAUUUGGGAAACUGAAUAUUUAGCAGGAGGUAGAAAGUCUGGAGUCAGCGGUUGGACACCCACAGGGUCGAGAAUUGCUUUUGCUCCGAGCUGGAGAAGUCGUUUAUGUAACUUCUUGGCAGCAAAGUUGAAUUUCUGAUAGGAUGAAUCACCUAGCCCUAGGACACCAAAGUGCAUCUCUAACAAGGAACUCUGUGACAAAUCCUUCCUCAAGAGGAAUCUCCAGAAUUUCUUCAUGUUGUCUGGUUCUUCCCCUUGCCCAGUAGUGGAGCAGACAAACACAACAAAUGCCUGUUCCGAUAUGGGUGUGGUCUCCUUGAUGUUUGUCUGCGACCCGUGUGACACAUAGAGAAAGCUUACAGAAAAUCCCCGUAAAGGAGUCAUUAGUAUAUGAAAUCCUGCCAACAAACUAACGAAGGCCUACAAGAAGUCAUGUACCUACCAUGACGACCGCACGACACUGUGUGCAACGGAAAGGAGAGAAACAACGUCACGCCAACAGCAAUCAAUGGUGCCGUGUUCAAUUAUGUGCGGCUGUCCUUAUAGAAGAAAUCUGGCAACCGCCGAGCAGACAUAAAAUGCCUCCGCCUAUAUGGUGUAUCAACUACUGCGAUCUCGGAGAAUCGAGAAACGAUCGGGACAGCAAAAGAGAAGGAAGGGCAAAGUCUACACAUAGAUAGGUACAAAAGUGAGUUGGGCGCAUGGUCGAUGGUCCUGAAAAUCGAUAAGACUUGUCUGUAUAUGCUGUUCAUUGCAGGUUUUGCCUCUCUCUCUCGGAUGUGUGUCGAUGUAUAUUUACUACAGCUAUUUUAUUACUCUAUACUAGUAUCGUGCGAAAUAAAACGGAUCCAAGGCCAUAGCGGUUCUUGAAUACUGUGUCGAUCACGGCACACUUCUUCGUCAAGAAAGCCGAAGGUGACUGUUCCAGUUAUUCCACUUGCGCGAGCACGGAUAUAUGAACUAUUAUGCAGAUGAGGCACCUCGUGAAAGACAACAUACAAUUUUGUAACCGAAGGAUAUUUACUUAAAAAGAAAUUGGACUACGCUUCACCUGCCCCUGUUGUGUACGUUGUGCUGUACAGAGCUGUAUAGCACGCAUUGAAAUCAGCGAUUCGAUCCAGCUGCCUGUCGACACACUCACACACGGUAGGCGGAUUUGCUGAUAUAUGCUGGCGAUGACGAAGAAUUUUGGCAAGGAAACCCGUUUUUUUGGCACAUCGCUCUUGUUAUGUUUAGUAUUUACAAAAAAAAAUAGAUUUCUUUGGCGGCCUCUUCGGCUGCAUGUUGUUGUGUUAAUUUUUCAGAAGAAGGAACAAAACAAUUGAUGAUGGAAUACGGUUAAGCGAAAACUUUCGCUUGUGUCGUUGGCAUACACGUGUAGGGCUUGUAUGCA